AGAUGGAAGUAAAAAUCGUAACAAGGUUUCCGUUGUAGUGACUGCGGAGA
rnacentral:rRNA from 1 species